CAGGGGCUUGGAGCAACCUGCUCUAGUGGAAGGUGUCCCUGCCCAUGGCAGGGGGUUGGAACUGGAUGAGCUUUAAGGUCCCUUCCAGCACAAACCAUUCUAUGGUGCUAUGAUUACCAACCUUUUCUCACUUACUUGAAGUUUAUUUCACAUUCUUGUGGUGUUUGGUUUUGAUGGUGGUGGUUUUCAGUUAUGAACUUAUGGGGAUUAUGGACUGUUUAUAGGAGAUAGCCCACCCAGAGUAAAAACACCCAGAAAAGGCAACACUACUCUCUUAAGCUUAUAUUUGCUCUAGAAACAUUUCCUGAAAAGUAAGGACCUAGAAGCUGCAAAGCAGCGAAAGCAACUACAAGGUAGUACUUAAGAGAAUGUUGUCAUUACACAGCCCUUCUGGAAGUCUUUUGGUUUUAUUGGUCACGAUUUUGGUGACUGAAUGGUGACUCGUAUACAAGUCUGUUGGUACCAAUGAAAGGUUUGUCACAGCCCCAGAUACUCAAAGAAUCAGUAAAAACAUGGAUUUAAAAUGUGUGGAUGGCUGACAAAGAGCUCAGCCAGUGAUGUGAAAUAUUGCCAUCUAACAGCUUUUUGGGAGAUUUGUGUAAACCAAAUUGGCAGUCUUGAGUUUAGCAAAGUAUGCAAAUGAAAAAUGAUACUUCUUCCAGCAACUGGAAGCGAAAGGCCGGGGCCAGAGUGUAUUUUGUCAUGAACUCAGCCCUCUGAGAUCGAGACUGAGGUGCACUGAUGAGAAAAGUGCUUGGCUCUUGUCUGCAGCGCAUCUCUCGGAUGGAUAAAUACACGACUUGCUGUUCAUCACUGUCAAGGAAAUUGUCACUUCUCAUGAGCGCUACAUUAAUUAAAGCUGAGAGUAAGGACUGGGAAGUUAGGCAUUUGGAAUCUGAAUUUCUAAAGGAGGAGGAUGGAAUGAUGUGUUCGUAGCAUGUUGCGUGCUCUGGUGUAACUGCUGUUGCUUAGUAAAACAAAAUGGCCGCUACAAUGAGGGGAAAACAACCCUAAGUUAUCAGGUAAAAUUAAUUUCCAAAUCUUUUGUAGCCCUUACCCUAUGCACCUAGUAGGUCUGUGUAAGAUCUGCAAACGAGCUAGUGAAACUGUGUAACAGAAUAAAAAUUCUAUUUAGUUUCUUUUGACCAUUUCUUGUCAGAUAUAUAUCUUAAAAUAUAUACACACAUAUGGAUAUAUAUCUUAAAAACAAAUAAAUCUGAAAGUGGACUAACAUACAUCUUUCAGAGGCAGAAAAAACCCACAGUUCCUGCCAUUAACUUCACCUAAAAUGGUGCCUGUCCAGUAUUUUGCAGCUAGCAGUAGGAACACUUUGCUUUUCUUGUCAUCCCAGGAAAUGCACCGUGUCCCUCAGAAGCUGCAGAUGAUGUGGUAUGUUCUGGAGCACUGUCAGGGAGCAGUGCUGGUUGUGAUGAGUGCUGUGAGAGGCAGUUGUGCACCUCUGGUUUGAUGUUCUGUGAGGGAAGUGUUAUGAUCUCUCGACUCAGAGUCCUCCUUUUGUGUGGCUUUUGCUGUUCGCUUUGGUGGAAGUGGCAGGGGCUGUGCUGCUGAAGCUGAGCACAACUCUCCUCAACCUUAGGAAUUUGAGUUCGAAACAGCUCCGAAUUCAUGUUUAGACACCAAUUUACUCAAGUGAGUUAAAAAAAAUAAAUAACCAAAACCAACAACAACUUUUCUACAACAUCCACAUGCACACUUUUCCCUCACUGAGGAGCUGGGUGGCCGUGUUGACAGGUAUAUCCUGUAGGCCUAUGAUGUAUAAAUACACUGGCAGGUCAGGAUCACUUGAAAAUUGAUUUGGCUUUUAAGCUAUGUUUUUCACAAAACAGCUUCUUCCACUAGCCUCUGUGUGACCAGACUGAGUCAUCUGUUUGUGAGAGGUAGCCCCAAGCCUUAGCCUGUAUUCUCUGUCCCCGUCUUCAUGGACUGGUUUGUGUUGGAAGGGAGCUUAAAGCUCAUCCAGCUCCAACCCCCUGCCACGGGCAGGGACACCUUCCAUUAGAGCAGGUUGCUCCAAGCCCCUGUGUCCAACCUGGCCUUGAACACUGCCAGGGAUGGGGCAGCCACAGCUUCUCUGGGAAAAGUCUGUGCCAGCGCCUCAGCACCCUCACAGGGAGGAAUUCUUCCUAAUGUCUGACCUAACCUUCAGCAGCAGCACGGAGAGGCCCGGCCCUGCCUUGUUCCGAGCCUCCGCACCGCUCGGGUCACAUCUCCCCCGGCUCCCCGGUGCUGCCCGGCGGCGGUUCGGGCCUCCCCGAGUUGGGCAGGGGCCGCUUGCGGCCGCGGCACUUCUCCGGCCGGGCCGUGCCCGGGCACGGGCGCUACGUGCCCGCCCGGACGCGGUCUGCGGGCCGCGCCCGCCCCCGCCGGAGGGCUGCGGCCCGGCCGUCCCCCGGGAGGCGGCUCUCCCGCCGCGCCGCCCCGGCUUCCUGCGCCGCAGGUGAGGCGGGCUCGCCCGCCGCUUCCCGCUUCCGCCCAGGUGAGAGCCGGCGGCCAUCCCGCCGCUCCGACCAGCGCCGCGUCCCGCCCGCAGGUACCGCGCGGUCCCGGCCCCUCAGCAGCGUCCCCAGCGCCGCGGGGAGCCGCCGCCCCCUGCUCCCGGCUCGGCCCCGGCCCCCUCCGGCUGCCGAGGGCGUGACUUCGCCGGUGGGGCCGGGGACCGAGGGAAGGGCGGAGGGGCGGCGGCGGCCGGUGAGGCCCUGAAGGGAGGCCUGGCUGCCCUCGGCGCCCUGGGGCUCUCAGGUGUGGCAUUGUUUGGGAGGGGGCAUCUCUCCCGGCAGGUAGAGUCAGCUGCUUGUGAGGGGUUUAAUUCCUCCUUCAGGCAGCGCUAGCACUUGGUUGUGAUGUAGAUCCUCUGAGAAGCUUUUCCUAUGUCUCCUCACUUCCUCAGCACCUGACCCGCAUCUGGAUGUGAGUACUGCCAUGGUCAGGAUACCUGCACUUGCACACAGACUCCCACCUCAAUGCCCUCUAGGUUUUGGACACCAGGGCCCUCGAUGUCUCCUUGACCCCCCCGUAAAGGCUGGGGAGAACUGCACGGCUCCUGAAGGAGUGUCCCAAGAGGCAGGAGUCGUCUCGGUGUUGUGCAAACAGUUUCCAUUGCUUGGAGAGGCUGUGUCAUGACGAGGAGAGGAGGUGGUGCUAGGCGAGUAACACAUAGUUCGUAACACUUUCCAUCAGUGCCUCUCAGACUUCAGAGAUUAUUAACAAAACAGGUUUUUAUUUAGGAGUGAUUAAUAUGAGAACAGUUCUUUUGCCUUCCUUGUGAUUUUUGAAGCGUAGAAAUUCAGCACGGUUCCAGGUCUAACAGC
ensembl:lncRNA